UGUUGCCACAGCAAUAUACAAGACGUAAGUAACCAAGACCUUGCAGUGGUUUUUUCGCCUCUUUUUAAUUAAAUUGAUAAAAAUAUUAAUAUUUUAUUAAUGUUUUAUUUUUUCUUUUUUACAGCUCCUCGCUGGCAACGUGGAAAUAAAAAAUUUAAAAAAAGAGGCGGCGGGCAAAACCGCGGGAGAGCGGGAGAGGCCGUGGGAGAGGCCGUGGGAGAGGCCAAAACAUAUAUAUUACGUACCAAUAAAAAAGCACCUGUCCUGGGACAAAAACUCGCGCGCGUACAGUUGGCCGUGCCUCUUGAUAUAUUUUAAUUAACUGUAUUUUAACUUUUUUAAAUAAAUAUUAAGCAUUCACAUAAACACA